AUUGAACGCUGGCGGAAUGCUUUACACAUGCAAGUCGAACGGCAGCACGGGAGCUUGCUCCUGGUGGCGAGUGGCGAACGGGUGAGUAAUAUAUCGGAACGUAUCCAAUAAUGGGGGAUAACUAAUCGAAAGGUUGGCUAAUACCGCAUACGCCCUGAGGGGGAAAGCUGGGGAUCGUAAGACCUAGCGUUAAUGGAGCGGCCGAUAUCAGAUUAGCUAGUUGGUGAGGUAAAGGCUCACCAAGGCGACGAUCUGUAGCUGGUCUGAGAGGACAACCAGCCACACUGGAACUGAGACACGGUCCAGACUCCUACGGGAGGCAGCAGUGGGGAAUUUUGGACAAUGGGGGCAACCCUGAUCCAGCCAUUCCGCGUGAGUGAAGAAGGCCUUCGGGUUGUAAAGCUCUUUCGCAAGGGAAGAAACGUUACGAGCGAAUAACUCGUGAUAAUGACGGUACCUUGAUAAGAAGCACCGGCUAACUACGUGCCAGCCGCCGCAGUAAAAC
rnacentral:rRNA from 1 species